CCAGAACCUUGCUGUGUCUGUGCCGUGU
rnacentral:piRNA from 1 species